UGAGUCCCUCAUGAUUUGCCAUCCUUCAAAAAUAGGCUGUUCCAGCCUGGCUUCCCUGUGGGGUCAACAGUCAUGUUGCAUAUCUGCUCCAUCCUGGGCUCCUUUCCAUGGGUUCACAGCUUUGCUGUGGCAUUUUGCAUCAGCUGUGGCUGAGUAUCUCCUCCACCAUAGAGCACAGAGCCUCAUCAUGGUCUGCACCACGGGCUGCAGGGACAUCUCAGCUCUGGUGCCCAGAGCACCUCCUGCCCCUCUCUCUGCUGCCCUUCGUGUUUGCAGGGCUGCUUCUCUCACAUGAUCUCACUCCUCUCUCCAGCUGCACUUGCUGUUGAUUUCACUUCCCGCUCUGCUCCCCCUCCUCACACUUCUUAAACAAAUUAUCUCAGAGAUGCUGCCGCUGUCACCAGUGGGCUGGCACUGGUUCUGUCAGACCAGGACAGGUUCUCAGAAAGCCAAAAACAAUGAAAACCUUGGCAAGACAAAUGGCAAAAGUACAGCAGGAGCAUCACAAGUUUUUUUAUGUGCCUUCUGCAAGUGUACCAUUAUACAGAAAUGCCCUGUGAGGUCCUAGUUCAGAAAAGACAAAUCAGUCUUAAAUUCAGUAGCAAAAUUGUUGUCUCCAGGAAGUUUUGGAUUAAGCAUCCAAAGUGCUAUUUCAGUAAGUUCUUAAAAUAGUGACUGCAUCAUCUCAUUAAAAGAAAAAAACAAAAACAAAAACCCAAAAACCCCCAAACAAACAAAACCCACCAAACCAAAACAAAACAAAAAAAGAAACACAAGAACAAGACCAAAUUAAAAAAACCACCACUGUUGCUACAGCAAUAUUUAAAAGUACUUUGUGACUUUUAGUUAAUGAUGUUGUAACUUGUCUUAACUCAGCCAGUUGUUUUAAUUUGAAAUUUGAACACAGGACACUGCUGCAAAAUUUGUAAAUAUACAGGGAAUAGAAAUGAAGGAAAACUAUUCUUCAUAUAAUUGUUAAAAAAGGCAAAUAGAAAUGUUUUAUUUUUCUAUUUCCAUCUGAAAAGCAAAGAUGCUUAUCCACUUAUGAAUAGUGGUUUCGAAGUUGGCAAAGGAUUUUUCCCUUCUGCUCAGUUUUCUCUCUGGUGCAGUGAUCAUAAUCUGCAUGAAGUCUCUCUGGAUAAUAUUAUUAUCCUUAUAUUUAAGGAAACAUUUUGCAGUAUUCAAAAUCUCUCACUAAUCUUUCUCUCAUCCAAAAUAAGGCAAUAUGUGAAUUUCUAUCUGAAGCCUAUCCAUACACUGGCUUUUAUAUUUAGAAUUAAAAAAAAAAAAAAAAAAAAA
rnacentral:lncRNA from 1 species